rnacentral:rRNA from 1 species
UACGUAGGUGGCGAGCGUUGUCCGGAUUUACUGGGCGUAAAGGGUGCGUAGGUGGUUUCUUAAGUCAGAGGUGAAAGGCUACGGCUCAACCGUAGUAAGCCUUUGAAACUGGGAAACUUGAGUGCAGAAGAGGGAAGUGGAAUUCCAUGUGUAGCGGUGAAAUGCGUAGAGAUAUGGAGGAACACCAGUGGCGAAGGCGGCUUCCUGGUCUGUAACUGACACUGAGGCGCGAAAGCGUGGGGAGCAAACAGGAUUAGAUACCCCGGUAGUCCCUGAGCGGG